rnacentral:rRNA from 1 species
UACAGAGGGGGCAAGCGUUGUUCGGAAUUACUGGGCGUAAAGGGCGCGUAGGCGGCCUGCUAAGUCGAACGUGAAAUCCCCGGGCUCAACCCGGGAACUGCGUCCGAUACUGGCAGGCUUGAAUCCGGGAGAGGGAUGUGGAAUCCCAGGUGUAGCGGUGAAAUGCGUAGAUAUCUGGAGGAACACCGGUGGCGAAGGCGGCAUCCUGGACCGGCAUUGACGCUGAGGCGCGAAAGCCAGGGGAGCAAACGGG